AUUCUGUGCAGCACACUAGUGCCAUGGGUAUGUGGGCGCGCGUGCUGUGCGUCAUUAUGGUCCUCCACACCAGCGCGGCCAGUACGUCGGACAACAGCCGUGCGGCGCCGUCCCCCGCAACGAUCGACUUGCCGCCUCCGUCCGGAAGAGCGCCUGGUGCGGCUAUUACACUGCCUCCCAGGUGCCCGGACGACACGACUAACGUCAACGGAAAAUGCGUACACACCAUUCAUAUAGAAGGCAACCGGGGAAACUGAAGAUCAUCAGCCUGGCGGGCUGUAUCCAGCUAGGAAUGAGGAACAUCCGCUCAGGGGUGCGCUUCGUCGCACAAAUUAAAAACAACGCAUAUAUGGACACCAGUACUACACAAAGACGAAUGUAAAAUUUUGUAAUAAAGAUGCAUAUAUUUUUCA